UACGGAGGGAGCAAGCGUUACUCGGAAUUACUGGGCGUAAAGCGCGCGUAGGUGGUUCGUUAAGUUGGAUGUGAAAUCCCCGGGCUCAACCUGGGAACUGCAUUCAAAACUGUCGAGCUAGAGUAUGGUAGAGGGUGGUGGAAUUCCCGGUGUAGCGGUGAAAUGCGUAGAGAUGUGGAGGAACACCGAUGGCGAAGGCAGCCCCCUGGGUCAACACUGACGCUCAUGCACGAAAGCGUGGGGAGCAAACAGG
rnacentral:rRNA from 1 species